rnacentral:rRNA from 1 species
AGAGUUUGAUCCUGGCUCAGGAUGAACGCUAGCGGCAGGCCUAACACAUGCAAGUCGAGGGGUAUUAGGAGCUUGCUUCUGAGAGACCGGCGCACGGGUGAGUAACGCGUAUGCAAUCUACCUUUCACAAGAGAAUAGCCCGGAGAAAUCCGGAUUAAUGCUCUAUAGUUUAUAGAACUGGCAUCGGCUUUAUAAUAAAGAUUUAUCGGUGAAAGAUGAGCAUGCGUCUCAUUAGCUAGUUUGUGUGGUAACGGCAUACCAAGGCAAUGAUGAGUAGGGGUCCUGAGAGGGAGAUCCCCCACACUGGUACUGAGACACGGACCAGACUCCUACGGGAGGCAGCAGUGAGGAAUAUUGGUCAAUGGAGGCAACUCUGAACCAGCCAUGCCGCGUGCAGGAUGACGAUCCUAUGGAUUGUAAACUGCUUUUUGUACAGGAAGAAAUGCAAUUACGUGUA